GAUGAACGCUAGCGGCAGGCUUAAUACAUGCAAGUCGUGGGGCAGCGCAGUGUAGCAAUACAUGGGCGGCGACCGGCAAACGGGUGCGGAACACGUACGCAACCUUCCUUCAAGUGGGGAAUAGCCCAGAGAAAUUUGGAUUAAUACCCCGUAAUAUUAUGAAACGGCAUCGUUUUAUAAUUAUAGCUCCGGCGCUUGAAGAUGGGCGUGCGCCUGAUUAGGUAGUUGGCGGAGUAAUAGCCCACCAAGCCUUCGAUCAGUAACUGGUGU
rnacentral:rRNA from 1 species